UCUUGGGUUGAGUGUUGUGCGCAGCGCGCCUGCUCCGGAGCGGAGCUGACCAGGCAGCAGUUGAGCAUCAGAAGCUCUGGUCCUGAGCGCUGGGUGCGAGCACCGUGCGAGCAAGUGAUGCCGGACUGAACGCAAAGGAAAAAGCAAAAGGUGCGGCUCCUACUGCCAGGUGACCCGGCCUCUCCACAGUUACCUGGCUCAGUACUUGGCUGCCUGAGCCACAGGACGCGCGUCAGGACUGCUUCCCCUGGAAUUUGUAAUCGGAACAGGGAGAGAUGCUGAGGGACCUGGGCUCCCCUGACUUGCCCAGUGUGCUCUGGGGCCACGUCUGUGUCAUAGCUCGCUCAGGACACAGCACAGGAACUGGGGCGUGAUGCCCAGAGCUGACCAGGGAGGAGCACGCACACGAGACGCAAAGCUGUUGGAGGCAGGAGAGCUGCUGGACGAAUGGUAACUGGCUUAGUAUUCCAGAGAAUUCCGUGAAGUUCUAGGUCUGUGGGGGUGGGGAGGGUGAGCACAUUCUUGCCUGAGAACCCCAGAAAUGGCCAACAAUGGGAACUCUUAAGGAUUCCCUGGGGUAAGAAGGACCUUGCAAGGAGCACUUAGACCUGAGGUCUGUCCAUCAGUUCGUGCCAGUGGGUACCCGCCCCUUCUGAUCCCAGGAAAAGAGGAGAGGUUUCCUCUGAGGGUUGGAAGUAGAGGACCUGGCCUCAGAGAUCCCAGCCUAACCUGGGCUGCAGGUCCUGAACUGAAAACAGGGAGUGGGAAGGAAUGUUGAUUACUGAGCAGGGAAAUGCCCGGUGUCUUCCUGACUCUGCUUCUAGAAUCCCAGCAGUUAACAUCUGGCCAGCACCUGGAGGGUUUGUCACAGAGAGGGUUGGAUGCCACCUAAGAUGUGGGGUGCCCACGUCUUACGACUUGGGACUUGGGACCUUGGACCCCUACUGGGAGACCUGUGGGUGGAUAAGCUCUGUCUGUCCUGCCAGCAGCAUUUGAAUCUCACUCUUCAAUGUGAAUAAAUAGCCAAGAUCACCUGACCUUGGAGGGAAGGUUCCCAGAUGAGAUGGUGAUAAACACCAACAGAAAGAGGAGUUCUGCGCAGGGAGAGACAGUGCAGAGAGCGGAGAACGUCGGAGAAGCAGAGACGAGAGGCUAGCCCCCAAGCGUGACUUUGCUGGCUUCCCAGUGUUCACGUCCUCUGGAGUCCCUGCCUUGCCCAUCCCUGGUUUCUGUGGCACAACCCUCUGUCUGCCAAAGAGCCCCCAGGUGCUGAAGAUGCUAUGAAUGUGUUUCCUUCCCUUCUGACCAAAGGGGUGCCUGCCCCCACCCCUCAUCCUGCUGACCCCAGCAGCUUGGAAGAAGAGGCCUCCCCUGGGUUAGCAGUCGGCCCAGCAUCUCUGCCAAGUGACCCUGGCAGCUGCAGCCUCCCCAAGCCCCCAGGGAACCAGGGGCAUGUCCAAAAGGCUCCAUCUGAGGCUGGCUCAGCUCCCGGCUGCCCUCUUGCUGGCAGGGGAUGGAGCCAAUUGGCCCUGUGUCUGCAUUGGGAGCUGUGAGCCCACGCUUGUUUGUAGCCGUCACCAGUGUCCUCUCUCUUUCGCUGGACCAGGCAGGGCUCAGGCUCCUUUGUGUCCUCUCUCCUCCAUGUCCAGAAGCUCUGGGGCCACGGUCUUGAUUAACCUAACCCUCUUCAAAUGAAUAAAUAAUAUGUCUCUAAAUAGGACUUUAAAUAUCUGAACAGCAGCUGUGAACGUUCAUUCAGUUGCUGCACGUUUAUGAAGCGUUUUGUCUCUGCCUAUAGGACUUAGUCCUUUUUUGUAAUUAGCGCAGAUGUAUUUUCUAGGUUCUAAUAUCAAAUACCAAUAAUUUCAUAAAUGGGUCGAAAAGAAUGAGGUUGUUUUGAUAACGUGAAUAUUUGAAGUAAGGGUUUGACGACUGCGUGAUCAGCAAGUCAUCAUCAAGUUGAUGGGGUUUGUCAUCAACAUCAGGGCAUUUUGAAGAGUGAAACCAGGCACGUGACACGAAACUGGGCACGUGACAU